rnacentral:rRNA from 1 species
GGGUUGUGAGGUUAAGCGACUAAGCGUACACGGUGGAUGCCCUGGCAGUCAGAGGCGAUGAAGGACGUGCUAAUCUGCGAUAAGCGUCGGUAAGGUGAUAUGAACCGUUAUAACCGGCGAUUUCCGAAUGGGGAAACCCAGUGUGAUUCGUCACACUAUCAUUAACUGAAUCCAUAGGUUAAUGAGGCGAACCGGGGGAACUGAAACAUCUAAGUACCCCGAGGAAAAGAAAUCAACCGAGAUUCCCCCAGUAGCGGCGAGCGAACGGGGAGCAGCCCAGAGCCUGAAUCAGUGUGUGUGUUAGUGGAAGCGUCUGGAAAGGCGCGCGAUACAGGGUGACAGCCCCGUACACAAAAAUGCACAUGCUGUGAGCUCGAUGAGUAGGGCGGGACACGUGGUAUCCUGUCUGAAUAUGGGGGGACCAUCCUCCAAGGCUAAAUACUCCUGACUGACCGAUAGUGAACCAGUACCGUGAGGGAAAGGCGAAAAGAACCCCGGCGAGGGGAGUGAAAAAGAACCUGAAACCGUGUACGUACAAGCAGUGGGAGCACGCUUAGGCGUGUGACUGCGUACCUUUUGUAUAAUGGGUCAGCGACUUAUAUUCUGUAGCAAGGUUAACCGAAUAGGGGAGCCGAAGGGAAACCGAGUCUUAACUGGGCGUUAAGUUGCAGGGUAUAGACCCGAAACCCGGUGAUCUAGCCAUGGGCAGGUUGAAGGUUGGGUAACACUAACUGGAGGACCGAACCGACUAAUGUUGAAAAAUUAGCGGAUGACUUGUGGCUGGGGGUGAAAGGCCAAUCAAACCGGGAGAUAGCUGGUUCUCCCCGAAAGCUAUUUAGGUAGCGCCUCGUGAAUUCAUCUCCGGGGGUAGAGCACUGUUUCGGCAAGGGGGUCAUCCCGACUUACCAACCCGAUGCAAACUGCGAAUACCGGAGAAUGUUAUCACGGGAGACACACGGCGGGUGCUAACGUCCGUCGUGAAGAGGGAAACAACCCAGACCGCCAGCUAAGGUCCCAAAGUCAUGGUUAAGUGGGAAACGAUGUGGGAAGGCCCAGACAGCCAGGAUGUUGGCUUAGAAGCAGCCAUCAUUUAAAGAAAGCGUAAUAGCUCACUGGUCGAGUCGGCCUGCGCGGAAGAUGUAACGGGGCUAAACCAUGCACCGAAGCUGCGGCAGCGACGCUUAUGCGUUGUUGGGUAGGGGAGCGUUCUGUAAGCCUGCGAAGGUGUGCUGUGAGGCAUGCUGGAGGUAUCAGAAGUGCGAAUGCUGACAUAAGUAACGAUAAAGCGGGUGAAAAGCCCGCUCGCCGGAAGACCAAGGGUUCCUGUCCAACGUUAAUCGGGGCAGGGUGAGUCGACCCCUAAGGCGAGGCCGAAAGGCGUAGUCGAUGGGAAACAGGUUAAUAUUCCUGUACUUGGUGUUACUGCGAAGGGGGGACGGAGAAGGCUAUGUUGGCCGGGCGACGGUUGUCCCGGUUUAAGCGUGUAGGCUGGUUUUCCAGGCAAAUCCGGAAAAUCAAGGCUGAGGCGUGAUGACGAGGCACUACGGUGCUGAAGCAACAAAUGCCCUGCUUCCAGGAAAAGCCUCUAAGCAUCAGGUAACAUCAAAUCGUACCCCAAACCGACACAGGUGGUCAGGUAGAGAAUACCAAGGCGCUUGAGAGAACUCGGGUGAAGGAACUAGGCAAAAUGGUGCCGUAACUUCGGGAGAAGGCACGCUGAUAUGUAGGUGAAGUCCCUCGCGGAUGGAGCUGAAAUCAGUCGAAGAUACCAGCUGGCUGCAACUGUUUAUUAAAAACACAGCACUGUGCAAACACGAAAGUGGACGUAUACGGUGUGACGCCUGCCCGGUGCCGGAAGGUUAAUUGAUGGGGUCAGCGCAAGCGAAGCUCUUGAUCGAAGCCCCGGUAAACGGCGGCCGUAACUAUAACGGUCCUAAGGUAGCGAAAUUCCUUGUCGGGUAAGUUCCGACCUGCACGAAUGGCGUAAUGAUGGCCAGGCUGUCUCCACCCGAGACUCAGUGAAAUUGAACUCGCUGUGAAGAUGCAGUGUACCCGCGGCAAGACGGAAAGACCCCGUGAACCUUUACUAUAGCUUGACACUGAACAUUGAGCCUUGAUGUGUAGGAUAGGUGGGAGGCUUUGAAGUGUGGACGCCAGUCUGCAUGGAGCCGACCUUGAAAUACCACCCUUUAAUGUUUGAUGUUCUAACGUUGACCCGUAAUCCGGGUUGCGGACAGUGUCUGGUGGGUAGUUUGACUGGGGCGGUCUCCUCCUAAAGAGUAACGGAGGAGCACGAAGGUUGGCUAAUCCUGGUCGGACAUCAGGAGGUUAGUGCAAUGGCAUAAGCCAGCUUGACUGCGAGCGUGACGGCGCGAGCAGGUGCGAAAGCAGGUCAUAGUGAUCCGGUGGUUCUGAAUGGAAGGGCCAUCGCUCAACGGAUAAAAGGUACUCCGGGGAUAACAGGCUGAUACCGCCCAAGAGUUCAUAUCGACGGCGGUGUUUGGCACCUCGAUGUCGGCUCAUCACAUCCUGGGGCUGAAGUAGGUCCCAAGGGUAUGGCUGUUCGCCAUUUAAAGUGGUACGCGAGCUGGGUUUAGAACGUCGUGAGACAGUUCGGUCCCUAUCUGCCGUGGGCGCUGGAGAACUGAGGGGGGCUGCUCCUAGUACGAGAGGACCGGAGUGGACGCAUCACUGGUGUUCGGGUUGUCAUGCCAAUGGCACUGCCCGGUAGCUAAAUGCGGAAGAGAUAAGUGCUGAAAGCAUCUAAGCACGAAACUUGCCCCGAGAUGAGUUCUCCCUGACCCUUUAAGGGUCCUGAAGGAACGUUGAAGACGACGACGUUGAUAGGCCGGGUGUGUAAGCGCAGCGAUGCGUUGAGCUAACCGGUACUAAUGAACCGUGAGGCUUAACCUUACAACGCCGAAGGUGUUU